rnacentral:tRNA from 1 species
GGCCCCGUAGCUCAGCGGAUAGAGCAGCGGUUUCCUAAACCGUGUGUCGGAGGUUCGAUUCCUUUCGGGGCCGCCA